rnacentral:SRP_RNA from 1 species
GAAUAGACAGCCCAGAAAUAGAUCUUCAUGGAUCACUUGAGCCCCAGAGAUCUGGGCUGUAGUGCACUAUGUCAACUGGGUGUCCACACUAAGUUCAGCAUCAAUAUGGUGACCUCCAGGUUGCCUAAGGAGGGGUGAACUGGCUGAAGUCAGAAAACACAAGUCAAAACUCCUGUGCUGAUCAGUAGUGGAAUCGCACCUGUGAAGAGCCACUACGCUCCAGUCUGGCCAACAUAGGAAGACCCUGUCUUCUU